GAUGAACGCUGGCGGCGUGCCUAACACAUGCAAGUCGAGCGAGAAAUCUAUAAGCGAAUCUUCGGAAGAGCGAGUAGAUGGAAAGCGGCGGACGGGUGAGUAACGCGUAGGCAACCUGCCUCAUGCAGAGGGAUAGCCUCGGGAAACCGGGAUUAAGACCUCAUGACGCUGGAGGAACACAUGUUCUUCUGGUCAAAGAUUUAUCGGCAUGAGAUGGGCCUGCGUCUGAUUAGCUAGUUGGUAGGGUAACGGCCUACCAAGGCAACGAUCAGUAGCCGACCUGAGAGGGUAAUCGGCCACAUUGGAACUGAGACACGGUCCAAACUCCUACGGGAGGCAGCAGUGGGGAAUAUUGCACAAUGGGCGAAAGCCUGAUGCAGCAACGCCGCGUGAGCGAAGAAGGCCUUUGGGUCGUAAAGCUCUGUUGGAAGGGAAGAAAGAAAUGACGGUACCUUCUGAGGAAGCCCCGGCUAACUACGUG
rnacentral:rRNA from 1 species